rnacentral:snRNA from 1 species
AUCGCUUCUCGGCCUUUUGGCUAAGAUCAAGUGUAGUAACCGAACUAUUCAAAUCAGUUAUUUUCAUCUACUUAGAUUAUAUUAAUAGAAAUUAAUGAUAAUGUAAAGCAAAUGCUAUCCAUU